rnacentral:rRNA from 1 species
AUUGAACGCUGGCGGCAGGCCUAACACAUGCAAGUCGAGCGGAUGACGGGAGCUUGCUCCUUGAUUCAGCGGCGGACGGGUGAGUAAUGCCUAGGAAUCUGCCUGGUAGUGGGGGACAACGUUUCGAAAGGAACGCUAAUACCGCAUACGUCCUACGGGAGAAAGCAGGGGACCUUCGGGCCUUGCGCUAUCAGAUGAGCCUAGGUCGGAUUAGUUAGUAGGUGAGGUAAUGGCUCACCUAGGCGACGAUCCGUAACUGGUCUGAGAGGAUGGUAAGUCACAUUGGAACUGAGACACGGUCCAGACUCCUACGGGAGGCAGCAGUGGGGAAUAUUGGACAAUGGGCGAAAGCCUGAUCCAGCCAUGCCGCGUGUGUGAAGAAGGUCUUCGGAUUGUAAAGCACUUUAAGUUGGGAGGAAGGGCAGUAAGUUAAUACCUUGCUGUUUUGACGUUACCGACAGAAUAAGCACCGGCUAACUCUGUGCCAGCAGCCGCCGUAACAC